rnacentral:rRNA from 1 species
GUGGCGAACGGGUGAGUAACACGUGGGUGAUCUGCCCUGCACUCUGGGAUAAGCCUGGGAAACUGGGUCUAAUACCGGAUAUGACCAACUGUCGCAUGGUGGUUGGUGGAAAGCUUUUGCGGUGUGGGAUGGGCCCGCGGCCUAUCAGCUUGUUGGUGGGGUAAUGGCCUACCAAGGCGACGACGGGUAGCCGACCUGAGAGGGUGAUCGGCCACACUGGGACUGAGACACGGCCCAGACUCCUACGGGAGGCAGCAGUGGGGAAUAUUGCACAAUGGGCGCAAGCCUGAUGCAGCGACGCCGCGUGAGGGAUGACGGCCUUCGGGUUGUAAACCUCUUUCACCAGGGACGAAGCGUGAGUGACGGUACCUGGAGAAGAAGCACCGGCCAACUACGUGCCAGCAGCCGCGGUAAUACGUAGGGUGCGAGCGUUGUCCGGAAUUACUGGGCGUAAAGAGCUCGUAGGCGGUUUGUCGCGUCGUCUGUGAAAUUCUGCAACUCAAUUGCAGGCGUGCAGGCGAUACGGGCAGACUUGAGUACUACAGGGGAGACUGGAAUUCCUGGUGUAGCGGUGAAAUGCGCAGAUAUCAGGAGGAACACCGGUGGCGAAGGCGGGUCUCUGGGUAGUAACUGACGCUGAG